rnacentral:tRNA from 1 species
GGAGGAGUGGCCGAGUGGUCUAAGGCAGCGGUUUUGAAAACCGCCGUAGGCUGACGUCUACCGGGGGUUCGAAUCCCUCCUCCUCCG